rnacentral:misc_RNA from 1 species
CUUCAGCUCGAACACCGUG